CGAGGUAGCUCAGUCGGUAGAGCAGAGGACUGAAAAUCCCCGUGUCGGCAGUUCGAUUCUGUCCCUCGGC
rnacentral:tRNA from 1 species